CUUCUAACUAUCAUAAUAUUAUCUUGUUAUUAUUUUAGUCCUUAUUUGAAAAUCAACUCAGGUGUGAAAACCUUCUAAUGGCUGGGGAGUACCUCAGUUUCAAAGACAACGGAAAAGGUGACAUCGGUUUGUUUAUCGGAAAAAGAGCUAUAAAAGCAGGCACAUAUUUUGAAGUUGAAUUAAUAAGUAGCGACGACAAAGGCAAUAUUGCUAUAGGCUUCGUAUCAAAGGACUUUUCAUAAAAAGAACAGCCAGGGGUUGGGAGAUUCUCGGUUGGAUAACAUGCUAAAGACGGUUGCAAACAUGACCAGAGUACAUCCGGCGAACGUAUAAGUCCACCAUUUAAAGUUGGUGACGUCAUCGGUAUAGGUGUAGCAUCGUACUUAACCAACGUUUUCAAGACAAAAAUCGAUAUUUUCUUCACCAGGAAUCAUCAAAAGAUAGGCGCAUUAGAGAUAAAUAACCCGUCAUUUUGCAAAGUGUACCCCGCUGUUGGCUUGCAGUCUUCCGGUGAUAAGGCAAGAGUCAUUCUAGACGCCCAAGUACCAUGAGAAAUGUCAUGUGAUAUCAGUCGCUGAAAAUAUAACCGAUGUCACGAAACUAGCAUACAGUCAACUUCGUAGACAUUUAUGUGCCAUAAAGUAUAAAGACAAUAAUUUUUAACUAGAAACAUCUCUUCAUAGUGUAAACAAACGCCUGAUAUUGUCAGAAACAAUAACUACAGUAUUCACUCUGAUAACUAUAAAUGAUAUUACUUUAUAUCGCAUUUUGGCUUGUCUCGUUACUAAAAUUCUUACCUGCUGUCGUCUUGUUACCAAUAAAACGGCAAAAACCGAGGCAAUCAAGACCAAGGUCGCCUCGGGACGCUACAUCUAUUUUCAACGCCUCGGGACGCUACAUCUAUUUUCAGGCAGAUUUGAUUUGCUCUUUCGAUUAACCCGUAUUUUAUAAGCCAGCUUGAAAGUAAAUUGUGUUUAUGUCCAUUAGAAAAUAAACUUGGACAUAAUUAUAUACAUAAAUAUGAUGUAAGAUGUUUGUUGUCUAAAUACUAAUUGUGUAUGAAAAGGUUUUCAAGCCUUAAUUUUACAGAAUUGUUUUUCUUGUUUUUUUUUGGUUUUCAAACUUAUCAAGAUAUUGCUCAUGCUAAUGUUCAUAUUGCAUUUGGUAAGUUUAUAUAUCUUUAAUCGAAAGUGGUAAUGGCCUUAGUGUUUUCAGGCAUACUUCACAUCUGGCGGACAAUUCUUUUGCAAUUGGACGUUAUUUGUCUUUGGUUGUGAUUAUCAUUUAAUAAUUGAGACUUAAACUUUUCUCCAAUCAAAAACAAAUAGACCUUGUUUUAUUUGCCUCCUCUGAUUCUGACUUAAAUCUGCUGGUCUGGAGUUUGAUAGAUCAACUUUUGUCCAGUUUUAAUCUAAUCAAAUUUGUUCAUUUUGUAUUUUUGAUUUAUUUAGAUCAUGUCGAUAAAAAUUUAAAACCGCCAGUCAAUAUGUAUUACCUUCAUCAUUAUUAGAAAGAUGUCAUGUUAUAUAUGUCUUUUGUCUCAUGAAUUUUUGUCUAUACUUAUAUGUGUAUGUUUUAUUACAAAUACUAUUCUAUGUUGUAUGUGUUGCCAUUUCUUUUAAUAUUGAUAAUGAUUACUAUCAUUUCAUCAAAAUACUCGGUGCAUUUUUACUAAGUGGUUAGGUAGCAGGCGGCAGUAACGAUUGAUAUCUAUUAAUUUGUUAUUGCUAUUUACUACUUUUAUGGGGCCUCCGUGGCCGAGUGGUUAUGGUUGCUGACUUCAAAUCACUUGCCCCUCAUCGAUGUGGGUUCGAGCCUCACUCGGGGCGUUGAAUUCUUCAUGUGAGGAAGUCAUCCAGCUGGCUUACGGAAGGUCGGUGGUUCUACCCAGGUGCCCGCUCGUGAUGAAAUAAUGCACGGAGGGGCACCUGGGGUCUUCCUCCACCAUUAAAGCUGGACAGUGGCUAUAUGACCUAUCAUUUGUCGGUGCGACGUUAAAUCAAAAAAAAAAUUACUUCUUUUAUAGUUAGUAUGUAUUAAAGA